UACGUAGGGCGCAAGCGUUAUCCGGAAUUAUUGGGCGUAAAGCGUGCGUAGGCGGUUUGUUAAGUCUGUCGUGAAAGCCCCGGGCUCAACCUGGGAAUGGCGAUGGAUACUGGCGAGCUAGAGUACGGUAGAGGAGAGUGGAAUUCCUGGUGUAGCGGUGAAAUGCGCAGAUAUCAGGAGGAACACCGGUGGCGAAGGCGGGUCUCUGGGCCGUAACUGACGCUGAGGAGCGAAAGCAUGGGGAGCGAACAGG
rnacentral:rRNA from 1 species